rnacentral:lncRNA from 1 species
CAGACAUGGGGGAUCUGGUUCACUGCCCCUCAGAAUGGACCCGGCCGAGGGGUCCGGUUCGCUAUAUCUACAAGCUCUGUUUUAGACCCUGUUCCUGUCAUCAAAUAAACCUCUGUUUUACUGGCUGGCUAAGAGUCACGUCUGACUGCAAAGUGGGGGUGCAGAACCCGGUGGCUUCCCCAGGACCCCGCUGGGGUGGACUCGCUGUGGGAAGCGCACGGAGGGGCAGAGGAUGCUGAAUGCUCCAAGGAGAGACCCAGGAGGUGAAGCCGUGUGAGCUUCUUGCCCUGAACGAGUCUGCUCCAAGGGAGAGGAGGCUCCCCAAAGUCCUGCCUGACUUGGUGGGGAGCAGUUCCAGAGCAUCGCCCGGUGACUCCGUGACAACUGGUGGCAGCGGCGGGACGUACUGCACCCCGUGAAUGGCGCUGCUUGCAGUAAGUGACUGGGGAGCAGUAAAACAAAGGAGGGAUAAUGAGGACCAGGCGUGCUGAAGGCUCAGAGAGGGACGGUUUCAGGGGGCAGUUAACCUCUGGGAGUGUGUGACCAGCGAGAAGGACUGUUGGAGUAACGGGGUCCCCCUGAGGACUGCAGCGAGCAGUCUCAGGGGUGGAGGAGCUUGCCGCUCGACCCUGGGAGAGAGAAGGAUUUUUGCAGUAGCAGGGUUCCCCUGGGGAUUGCAGGAGCAGUCCCAGGGGCGGAGGAGUCUGCAGCUCGACCCUGGCAAAGAGGUGGUGAUCAUGAGAAGGGCUGGCACACCAGGGGUUCUUCCUGGAAACCAUGGGGGAGCCAAGAGCACACAGGCCUGUGAGUCCAGAGCCACUUGGGAACGGUGAAGUGAUGGCCUAUCACCAUCUCCUUGAGAAGGACAUUGUGAUCCUGUGCACAAAGAGAGGGUUACGCAUGGGGAAAUUCACCAAGGCACAGUUAAUCGUGCAGUUGAAGGAGAAGCACCGCUCUGAGGAGCAGAUUCCUGGCCCAGAUGGGGCUACAAGAGGAUCUGAGAGCAGCUGGAGCAUCAGCCAGGCAUCCCCGGGAGUCUGGUCCCCAAUCAGACGAGGGUCUUCACGAUUGGGUUCCCCAUCAGGAGAUUGGAGACGGAUGGGAUGGGAGCAGAGCCCGAGAGAGCGAGAGGACCGUGAGAGAAAGCAAGAGCCCGAGGAAAAGCUGCAGGAGAAGCAGCAGCAGCGUGGACUGGUGAUGGUGGAGCAGAGAGACAUAGGGGGCUGCCCAGGGGUCAGUGGGGAAACACGCCUGCAGGGGCGAGACCCUGGGACAGAGAGAACUGUGGUGGUGCAGCCCCAGAUGCUGAGGGACUGUGGGACCUGGGUGAAGUUCCCUGGGGUGAAGCCCCUCGCCCUGCCUAUGGCCCAGAUCCCUGUGCAGACCCAGGAGGCGUCGGGCUGGCUGGUAGUUGGGGUUCUCCAGGAUAUCGGCUGGGAGGCCCUGUUGGGGGGUGACUGUCUCCCCAUGGGACAGGAUCCAGGCCCCGCUCCUGUAACGGCCGAGGGUUUGAAUUCAAAUCCAGGGAACCAAUUGGCUAGGAUGGAAAUGGUCAGUGAAAAUGCAAAUAACCUGGCUGGCAGGGGGGAGGGGCUGCUGGGCUCAGGAUACCUGCCUACCUGUAACCAGCCCCCUGGGGCUGAGUGGGAGGGAGAGAUGCUCCCCGCCCCCCUGCACACCGGAGAGGGGGCUCACGCUGGCUCUGAUGCUGUGACCAGAGCAGAGACCUCGCUGCCUGCCCCCACUGGGACAGCAAGGGCAGCGCUGAGCACGGGGGGAGCUGAGACCCCAGCUGAGUGGGGGGACACCCAGGCAGGGCAGGUCAGCUGCCAAACAGGUUUGCCUGGUCCAGACGUGCUGCUGGGAAGUGAUUACACAGCAGGGAGGGAGCUACCAGGGACAGGGCUCAGGGGGGCUGUGACCCCAGGCCCAGCCAGCGAGAGGGAGCAGGUCCCACUCCCUGCCCCAGCUGCUGAAUCCCAGACCGAGCUGCAGAAGGAUCCCUCCUUGGAGAAGCUGAGAGAACUUGCUGGCCACAGCGCUGCAAACCCCCUUGGGGAAGGCUGCAGGGACAGAGUCCUGCAGGAGAAGGGAUUCCUGUACCGGGAAUGGGCUCCCCAAGGGGAAGUAGAACUGGGGGGAAUCGGGAGACAGCUGGUGGUGCCCCAGGAAUCCACAGGGUUCUUCCCUUUCGAGCUGCUGGAUGGGAGGAGAGUGAGGGGACCCCUGAACCUGAAGAGGGAGGAUUGGAUGAAGAAGGGGGAAGACCCCCGGGGGGAUCUCUUCCCUGAGGUGGGAGCCAAUCUCCCCAUCAGGUGUUCCCCAUUCAGAGUCACUGGGAAAGCAGCCCAGAACCUGGAGAGAGAGGUCAGGGACAUGCUGGCUUUAGAUGGGAUCCAGCCAUUUUACAGCCCAUGGGCCUCACCCGUGGGGCUGAUCCCCAAGGGAAACAGGAUGAUCUGGUUUUAUGGGGGCUAUCAGAAGCUUAAAGCCAUCACAGCAUCCGAUGCCGACCCCAUGCCUAGGCCUAGGGAGAUUCUAGACAAGCUGAGAGGGAUGGAGAACUUGGCCCUGGCAGACACUGAUAACAUGUGCAUCUUUAGCCAGACCUGGGAGGAACAGGUGUCCCAGGUGAAGAGGGGGCUGGGCUGCCUCAAGGAAGUGGGACUGACGGUAAAAGCUGGAAAGUGCAAGGGGGGAAGGCAGAGGUGUUGUGUCUGGGCCACAAAGUGGGAAGUGGCUGCCCAAGCCCAGAGCUGGCCAAGGCCAAGAUGGGGGCUCUUAACCAAGACAGCCCGAAUUGCAGCCCAGAGUGCUGGGAGAAGACCCCGUCCCAGUUUGAACCCUAGGGGUAUUGGGGAUAGCAAAAGGGUUCAAGCCACAUAAACCUUCCCACAUGCGGCCUGCAAGUGCCAUCAAGCACACCCAACCUAAGGGAGGGCGCGAGACUGGACUGUCCUGGUGUAACUCACACCAAGGAAUGGGAGAGAUGCUGGGGCAUCCAUAGGAACGUUGGUGGGUUCGAACUUCCCCAGGUCACUGGCUGAAGUGACCUCGCUCAGUUCGGUCUCGAAGGGGGGAGAGAUGUCUGCUCCAAGGGAGAGGAGGCUCCCCAAAGUCCUGCCUGGCUUGGUGGGGAGCAGUUCCAGAGCAUCGCCCGGUGACUCCGUG